rnacentral:lncRNA from 1 species
UCUUAAAAAGCAAAUAUGAAUCAAUAUGAAUAGAGUAAAGUUAGAAGCCCUCAAACAGAUUUCGGAAGAGAAAGAAAGGGCUUCUCGAACUCUGAGUCUCCUCUUUGAGUGCACUGAAGAUUUGAUGUCAUAAGAGCCUUGAAUGCAAGGGAAAAACUUCUAGGAAUGAAUUGAAUGUGUUUCUUCCUUCUUUUGCUUGUCUUUUCUCUUAAUGGACUCUUGGUAGUUGAAAAUGCCUUAAUGCACAGAUGGAGUAACUCUCUUGUUGUCUACUACUGUUUACUCUGGCUAUUUAAACAGUCCCUUUUGAAAAAUAGCCGUUAGACACUGAUUUGUAGCCGUUCUGCACAGACUGCACCUCCUGACAAUGUAUCCGUUGGGGUCGGAGUCGACUCGUUCGUUUUGGAGUCGACUCGACUGUUGCUGGAGUCGACUCAUGCUUUACUGGAGACGACUCGCCCACUGUUCAGGAUUUGAAUUAAAGUGCUGUUCCGACCUGGAGUCGACUCGCUAAGAUCUGGAGAUGACUCGGCAUUUUGGAGACGGCUCGUUCUCAGGAUUCUAGAGAUCUAUUUUUCUGCAUUUCUCUCUCGAAUCGACUCGAAUCCUCUUGGAGUCGACUCGGCUCUCAGAGCCCGAAAAAUCGAUCCUCUGUCUGUUGAUUUGAGCUGCCUCGGAGUCGACUCGCACUUUGUUGGGGUCGACUCGGCUGACUUGGGGUCGACUCUGGAAUUCACGGAGUCGACUCGUUCACAGGGUCACUGAGUUUGGUUCUCUGCCUUUCAGUCUGCUUUCCUCUACGAGUCGACUCUGGCAUGAUUAGGAGUCGACUCGCC